rnacentral:misc_RNA from 1 species
GAUGAAGAACGUAGUGAAAUGCGAUAAGUAAUGUGAAUUGCAGAAUUCAGUGAAUCAUCGAAUCUUUGAACGCACAUUGCGCCCGCCAGUAUUCUGGCGGGCAUGCCUGUUCGAGCGUCAUUUCAACCAUCAAGCCCCCCGGCUUGUGUUGGGGACCUGCGGCUGCCGCAGGCCCUGAAAAGCAGUGGCGGGCUCGCUGUCACACCGAGCGUAGUAGAUCUCAUCUCGCUCAGGGCGUGCUGCGGGUUCCGGCCGUUAAACCACCUUCAUAACCCAAGGUUGACCUAGGAUCAGGUAGGAAGACCCGCUGAACUUAAGCAUAUCAAUAAGCGGAGGA